rnacentral:rRNA from 1 species
UACGAAGGGGGCUAGCGUUGCUCGGAAUCACUGGGCGUAAAGCGCACGUAGGCGGAUUGCUAAGUCAGGGGUGAAAUCCUGGAGCUCAACUCCAGAACUGCCUUUGAUACUGGCGACCUUGAGUCCGGGAGAGGUGAGUGGAACUGCGAGUGUAGAGGUGAAUUCGUAGAUAUUCGCAAGAACACCAGUGGCGAAGGCGGCUCACUGGCCCGGUACUGACGCUGAGGUGCGAAAGCGUGGGGAGCAAACAGG